AUAAGACUGGGAUAACUUCGGGAAACCGGAGCUAAUACCGGAUAAUAUUUUGAACCGCAUGGUUCAAAAGUGAAAGACGGUCUUGCUGUCACUUAUAGAUGGAUCCGCGCUGCAUUAGCUAGUUGGUAAGGUAACGGCUUACCAAGGCAACGAUGCAUAGCCGACCUGAGAGGGUGAUCGGCCACACUGGAACUGAGACACGGUCCAGACUCCUACGGGAGGCAGCAGUAGGGAAUCUUCCGCAAUGGGCGAAAGCCUGACGGAGCAACGCCGCGUGAGUGAUGAAGGUCUUCGGAUCGUAAAACUCUGUUAUUAGGGAAGAACAUAUGUGUAAGUAACUGUGCACAUCUUGACGGUACCUAAUCAGAAAGCCACGGCUAACUACGUGCCAGCAGCCGCGGUAAUACGUAGGUGGCAAGCGUUAUCCGGAAUUAUUGGGCGUAAAGCGCGCGUAGGCGGUUUUUUAAGUCUGAUGUGAAAGCCCACGGCUCAACCGUGGAGGGUCAUUGGAAACUGGAAAACUUGAGUGCAGAAGAGGAAAGUGGAAUUCCAUGUGUAGCGGUGAAAUGCGCAGAGAUAUGGAGGAACACCAGUGGCGAAGGCGACUUUCUGGUCUGUAACUGACGCUGAUGUGCGAAAGCGUGGGGAUCAAACAGGAUUAGAUACCCUGGUAGUCCACGCCGUAAACGAUGAGUGCUAAGUGUUAGGGGGUUUCCGCCCCUUAGUGCUGCAGCUAACGCAUUAAGCACUCCGCCUGGGGAGUACGACCGCAAGGUUGAAACUCAAAGGAAUUGACGGGGACCCGCACAAGCGGUGGAGCAUGUGGUUUAAUUCGAAGCAACGCGAAGAACCUUACCAAAUCUUGACAUCCUUUGACAACUCUAGAGAUAGAGCCUUCCCCUUCGGGGGACAAAGUGACAGGUGGUGCAUGGUUGUCGUCAGCUCGUGUCGUGAGAUGUUGGGUUAAGUCCCGCAACGAGCGCAACCCUUAAGCUUAGUUGCCAUCAUUAAGUUGGGCACUCUAAGUUGACUGCCGGUGACAAACCGGAGGAAGGUGGGGAUGACGUCAAAUCAUCAUGCCCCUUAUGAUUUGGGCUACACACGUGCUACAAUGGACA
rnacentral:rRNA from 1 species